rnacentral:rRNA from 1 species
GUCUUUUUGAGUUUAAUUUAAAGUCUAAUCUGCCCACUGAUAAAUAUUUAAGGGCCGCAGUAUUCUGACUGUGCAAAGGUAGCAUAAUCAUUAGUCUUUUAAUUGAGGGCUUGUAUGAAUGAUUGGACGAGAUAUAAGCUGUCUCAUAAAAAUUUAAGUAGAAUUUUAUUUUUUAGUCAAAAAGCUAAAAUAAAUUUAAAAGACGAGAAGACCCUAUAGAUCUUUAUAAUUUACUUUUAAAUUUUUUUAGGUUAUUUUUUAAAUUUAUAAGUUAGAUUAUUUUGUUGGGGUGACAAUGAAAUUUAAUAAACUUUCAUUAUUUUGAAACAUUAAUUUAUGAUUAAUUGAUCCACUAUUAGUGAUUAAAAAUUUAAGUUACCUUAGGGAUAACAGCGUAAUUAUUUUGGAGAGUUCUUAUCGAUAAAAUAGUUUGCGACCUCGAUGUUGGAUUAAGAUUAAUUCUGGGUGUAGCAGUUCAGUUUAUUAAGUCUGUUCGACUUUUAAUUUCUU